CUGGGCUUGAACUGCAGAUGACCAUCGGCGAAAGUCGACUUCCGCAAGGACAUCUGUAGAGGUGCUGCAUGGCUGUCGUCAGCUCGUGUCGUGAGAUGUUGGGUUAAGUCCCGCAACGAGCGCAACCCUUGUUCUCUGUUGCCAUCAGGUUAAGCUGGGCACUCUGAGGAGACUGCCGGUGACAAACCGGAGGAAGGUGGGGAUGACGUCAAGUCAGCAUGGCCUUUAUGUCCAGGGCUACACACGUGCUACAAUGGCCGGUACAAACCGUCGCGAGCCCGCGAGGGGGAGCUAAUCGGAAAAAGCCGGUCUCAGUUCGGAUUGCAGGCUGCAACUCGCCUGCAUGAAGUUGGAAUCGCUAGUAAUCGCGGAUCAGCAUGCCGCGGUGAAUACGUUCCC
rnacentral:rRNA from 1 species